rnacentral:rRNA from 1 species
AGCGAACGCUGGCGGCAGGCCUAACACAUGCAAGUCGAACGGGCUCUUCGGAGCUAGUGGCGGACGGGUGAGUAACACGUGGGAACGUGCCUUUAGGUUCGGAAUAAGCCCGGGAAACUGGGUCUAAUACCGAAUGUGCCCUUCGGGGGAAAGAUUUAUCGCCUUUAGAGCGGCCCGCGUCUGAUUAGCUAGUUGGUGGGGUAAUGGCCCACCAAGGCUACGAUCAGUAGCUGGUCUGAGAGGAUGACCAGCCACAUUGGGACUGAGACACGGCCCAAACUCCUACGGGAGGCAGCAGUGGGGAAUCUUGCGCAAUGGGCGAAAGCCUGACGCAGCCAUGCCGCGUGGAUGAUGAAGGUCUUAGGAUUGUAAAAUCCUUUCACCGGUGAAGAUAAUGACUGUAGCCGGAGAAGAAGCCCCGGCUAACUUCGUGCCAGCCGCCGCCGUAAAAC